CCUACGGGCGGCAGCAGUGGGGAAUAUUGCACAAUGGGGGAAACCCUGAUGCAGCGACGCCGCGUGAGUGAAGAAGUAUUUCGGUAUGUAAAGCUCUAUCAGCAGGGAAGAAGAAAGACGGUACCUGACUAAGAAGCCCCGGCUAACUACGUGCCAGCAGCCGCGGUAAUACGUAGGGGGCAAGCGUUAUCCGGAUUUACUGGGUGUAAAGGGAGCGUAGACGGCUGUGCAAGUCUGAAGGGAAAGCCCAGGGCUCAACCCUGGGACUGCUUUGGAAACUGUGGAGCUAGAGUGCUGGAGAGGUAAGUGGAAUUCCUAGUGUAGCGGUGAAAUGCGUAGAUAUUAGGAGGAACACCAGUGGCGAAGGCGGCUUACUGGACAGUAACUGACGUUGAGGCUCGAAAGCGUGGGGAGCGAACAGGAUUAGAUACCCCAGUAGUC
rnacentral:rRNA from 1 species